rnacentral:rRNA from 1 species
GACGAACGCUGGCGGCGUGCUUAACACAUGCAAGUCGAACGGAAAGGCCCUGCUUUUGUGGGGUGCUCGAGUGGCGAACGGGUGAGUAACACGUGAGUAACCUGCCCUUGACUUUGGGAUAACUUCAGGAAACUGGGGCUAAUACCGGAUAGGAGCUCCUGCGGCAUGGUGGGGGUUGGAAAGUUUCGGCGGUUGGGGAUGGACUCGCGGCUUAUCAGCUUGUUGGGGGGGUAGUGGCUUACCAAGGCUUUGACGGGUAGCCGGCCUGAGAGGGUGACCGGCCACAUUGGGACUGAGAUACGGCCCAGACUCCUACGGGAGGCAGCAGUGGGGAGUAUUGCACAGUGGGCGGAAGCCUGAUGCAGCAACGCCGCGUGCGGGAUGACGGCCUUCGGGUUGUAAACCGCUUUCGCCUGUGACGAAGCGUAAGUGACGGUAAUGGGUAAAGAAGCACCGGCUAACUACGUG